AUCUAACUGACCAGUCCCAAAUUGGACAGAACGCGCGUCUUGAAU
rnacentral:hammerhead_ribozyme from 1 species